ACCGCUAUGGUCUAGGGGUAUGACGUUCGUCUCACAGCUUGCUGUACGCACGAAAGGUCUCGAGUUCGAACCUCGAUGGUGGUA